UACGUAGGGUGCAAGCGUUGUCCGGAAUUAUUGGGCGUAAAGAGCUCGUAGGCGGUCUGUCGCGUCGGCUGUGAAAUCCCGGAGCUCAACUCCGGGUCUGCAGUCGAUACAGGCAAACUGGAGUACUGCAGGGGAGACUGGAAUUCCUGGUGUAGCGGUGAAAUGCGCAGAUAUCAGGAGGAACACCGGUGGCGAAGGCGGGUCUCUGGGCAGUAACUGACGCUGAGGAGCGAAAGCGUGGGGAGCGAACAGG
rnacentral:rRNA from 1 species